UAGCUGCAUGACGAUGCGGCACGUGUGUUAUCUGGGCCAUCGGCUUUUUAGACUUUGUGUUUAGAGUCAAUGGGCGCAAGAAGGGAUGUGUUAUGGACUUCGUAUCGAGUUAGGAGCCAAUGGCGAGAGGCAGUCCUCGAUGAUCAAUAAUGAUCUAACCACUCGUGAAGAGUGGAUGCUUUUUUACAUGAUUGCUUUAUUUUUGCAUUCCAUAUUUCUUAAUAUAAUUGAUCCUUGUUGCUUAAUCUUUGAUGCAUAAUGGGGGGAUAAAUAAUUGUUAGGAAACCGGAGUCACUGAGCAAAAUAGUUGCUCAUUAGACUCUUUGUUUUGCAGGUAACCCGUAGUAGUAGGUUCCAUUUGGGAUCGGAGGAGCACAAAGCUGUUGGUGUAGAUUUGCUACAUUUUGCAAACACGUACGUUUUGUAUUAUGUAAGAUAUGGUUUUGAACUUCGGCCGAGCAUGUAUAAAGUUUUGAUGUGAUUGAACUUAAAGUAUAUAAAUAAGAAAAGGUUUGUGAAAUGCUUGGAUUCCGGAUCGGGGGUGUUACAACGAAGGUGGUAUCAGAGCAUGGUUCACUUUGCUCACUUGGGAACCUGUUUUCAAUAAUUUAUCGAGUCAAAGGUGUUGCAAAAGGUAGAAUAGGAAACCAACAUGC
rnacentral:lncRNA from 1 species